UCCAGACUUGACAGUCAGCACGACAAACACUUAAUGACUCCUGACUUCCGGGAGGCCUCAUACUUCACACCCGAUGGGCUACAGUCUGUAGUGGGUCUGCUCCUCCCCAUGUUCGUGAAAGACUGGCAGAGGUAUACUCGUAAAGUUUUAUUCUCCCAUCUUCUUCUGCUCAUUCGUAAGGGCUUCCAGACACACAUAACUUACUGAUAGUCGGACUCUGAAAGAAGCUCCUCCAAGAACGCCUGCUGGUUGCUGGCUUGUUUGGUGACUUGGAGAUGGUGGUAUGUUGGGAUGAUGCCCAGGAGGUCCAGGAAUAGACUUUGCAGAAGAAUAUGCCCUGGGUGGCUGCUGGGCCCAGAACGAUGAGAUUGGAGCCAACCUGAACCCAACCCGCAAUGUGGAGAUGAUCCCGGCCAAUCCAGAGAACUGUGCGUGAGAAAAAUAAAUGUUCACAGGGGUUGGCAUAAUUUUUCCUGUGAAGGGUCAGACAGUCUCAGAUGCACUUUCUCAACUCUGCCCCUGCAGCGCAGAGGCAGCCACAAACAACACAGAAGCAGAUGAACGUGCCUGGGUCCAAUAAAACUUUAUUUGUAGACACUAAAAUUGGAAAUUCACAUAAUUC